rnacentral:rRNA from 1 species
UACAGAGGGUGCAAACGUUGUUCGGAAUUACUGGGCGUAAAGCGUGCGCAGGCGGUCUGUUAAGACAGAUGUGAAAUCCCCGGGCUUAACCUGGGAACUGCAUUUGUGACUGGCAGGCUAGAGUAUGGCAGAGGGGGGUAGAAUUCCACGUGUAGCAGUGAAAUGCGUAGAGAUGUGGAGGAAUACCGAUGGCGAAGGCAGCCCCCUGGGCCAAUACUGACGCUCAUGCACGAAAGCGUGGGGAGCAAACAGG